GGGUGGGGAUUAGUGGCGAACGGGUGAGUAACACGUGGGCAAUCUGCCCUGCACUCUGGGACAAGCCCUGGAAACGGGGUCUAAUACCGGAUACUGACCUGCCAAGGCAUCUUGGCGGGUCGAAAGCUCCGGCGGUGCAGGAUGAGCCCGCGGCCUAUCAGCUUGUUGGUGAGGUAAUGGCUCACCAAGGCGACGACGGGUAGCCGGCCUGAGAGGGCGACCGGCCACACUGGGACUGAGACACGGCCCAGACUCCUACGGGAGGCAGCAGUGGGGAAUAUUGCACAAUGGGCGCAAGCCUGAUGCAGCGACGCCGCGUGAGGGAUGACGGCCUUCGGGUUGUAAACCUCUUUCAGCAGGGAAGAAGCGAAAGUGACGGUACCUGCAGAAGAAGCGCCGGCUAACUACGUGCCAGCAGCCGCGGUAAUACGUAGGGCGCAAGCGUUGUCCGGAAUUAUUGGGCGUAAAGAGCUCGUAGGCGGCUUGUCGCGUCGGUUGUGAAAGCCCGGGGCUUAACCCCGGGUCUGCAGUCGAUACGGGCAGGCUAGAGUUCGGUAGGGGAGAUCGGAAUUCCUGGUGUAGCGGUGAAAUGCGCAGAUAUCAGGAGGAACACCGGUGGCGAAGGCGGAUCUCUGGGCCGAUACUGACGCUGAGGAGCGAAAGCGUGGGGAGCGAACAGGAUUAGAUACCCUGGUAGUCCACGCCGUAACGGUGGGCACUAGGUGUGGGCAACAUUCCACGUUGUCCGUGCCGCAGCUAACGCAUUAAGU
rnacentral:rRNA from 1 species